rnacentral:lncRNA from 1 species
AGGACGACUCACCUUGAAGCACGAGAUUGCCAGGUGGAGGGACUUCCUGAACUUUAGCCCACUUUUGUUGUUGUUAGUUUCUCUUACAGAUAGCUCUCUAGCUCUUCCAAGUCACUCAAACUGCAGCUGAAAUUGUAGAUGGAGGUUUUGGCGGGAGGGGGAAAGAUGUAGCCUUUUUUUUUUUAAGGUAACAAAUGUGGUUAUAGGGAUUCCUUUUUUUCAGGUUGUUAGCAGACCAGCUGGGCUCUGGGAAUUACUGCGCCCCCCCCCCCCGGCAUAAUAACCAAUGUUGCUUUCUCCCUGCAUUGGGAUGGCUCACUAGUUAACUUGUGUGGGUGUUUUUCAGGUGUUGGGGCAACGCUAAAGUGUUGCUCAUGUGUGAACCAGUCAGCUCCUGCCGUCUGAGGUGUAUUGAGGCAAUAUUUGGGGGGUAUUGGAGGGGACCUCGAGAGGAUCUUCAGCCUCCCCAAACUAGGCGAUGUUCAUCCAGUAUUUCUAACCAGACUGAGAAUCUACAAAGAAACCUACUUACUGCUUCAGUUCCAUGACUUCUUCCUUCUUCUAGAAAGGACACAGCAUGCAGG